CCUACGGGAGGCAGCAGUGAGGAAUAUUGGUCAAUGGGCGGAAUCCUGAACCAGCCAAGCCGCGUGCAGGACGACGGCUCUACGCGUUGUAAACUUCUUUUGUACCGGGGUAAAAUGCCUUACGCGUACGGUUUUGAAAGUACGCUACGAAUAAGGAUCGGCUAACUCCGUGCCAGCAGCCGCGGUAAUACGGAGGAUCCGAGCGUUAUCCGGAUUCAUUGGGUUUAAAGGGUGCGUAGGCGGUUGUUUAAGUAAGCGGUGAAAUACCGGUGCUCAACAUCGGAGCUGCCGUUGAGACUGGAGGCCUAGAGAGCGGAGGAGGCAGGCGGAAUGUGUGGUGUAGCGGUGAAAUGCAUAGAUAUCACGCAGAACACCGAUUGCGAAGGCAGCGUGCUAGGCCGGAUCUGACACUGAGGCACGAAAGCGUGGGGAUCGAACAGGAUUAGAUACCCGUGUAGUC
rnacentral:rRNA from 1 species